rnacentral:rRNA from 1 species
UAGGGAAUCUUCCACAAUGGGCGAAAGUCUGAUGGAGCAACGCCGCGUGAGUGAAGAAGGGUUUCGGCUCGUAAAACUCUGUUGUUAAAGAAGAACAUAUCUGAGAGUAACUGUUCAGGUAUUGACGGUAUUUAACCAGAAAGCCACGGCUAACUACGUGCCGG